AUAUAUAGAGAAUAAUACAUGGGUGCGCGGAAACACCAGAUUUAUUUCGAGUGUUGAACAUGAUAUCUCACGAGUGAGCGCAGCGAACGAGUGAGAUAUCAUGUUCAAAACGAGAAAUAAAUCUGGUAUUUCCAAGCACCAUGCAUGGCCAUGUAUUUUCCUGUUUAUUAAAGGACAGUCUUUGAAAAGCGAUAACUUUUACAGAAAAGCGAUAAUUGAAAAGCGAUAAUUUUCACAUGUGAAAUUAUCAUAAAUAAUCUCACAUGUGAGAUUAUCAAUUUUAACAGUGCUCGAAAUCUUUAUAAAGCACUAUUACUUUAUAUAUACACAGGACGAAAAGCGCAC